rnacentral:rRNA from 1 species
UACGUAGGUGGCAAGCGUUGUCCGGAAUGACUGGGCGUAAAGGGAGCGUAGGCGGCGCAGUAAGUUAGGAGUGAAAUCCCGGGGCUCAACCCCGGAACUGCUUUUAAAACUGCUGUGCUUGAGUGAUGGAGAGGAAAGCGGAAUUCGUGGUGUAGCGGUGAAAUGCUUAGAUAUCACGAAGAACUCCGAUUGCGAAGGCAGCUCACUAGACUGCAACUGACACUGAUGCUCGAAAGCGUGGGUAUCGAACAGG